rnacentral:rRNA from 1 species
AUGGACAUGCGAGGGGAUCCCGGGGCUAGUGCAGCCAUGGCCUGGAGCUCGCCCCUUCUCCUGCGCGGGGACGCCAGCUACCGCAGAGCCCAGCUACCAACGGAUCCCCACCGCCAGGCACGCCACCUCCUGUUGCAGUCCUCCCUCAAGUGCGCCAGGGCACGCGAUGCGGUUUGGCGCUCGUGGCCGUGCAGGUGCAUUACCCCCCGCUCCCAACAACCACGAGCAGCAGCGCGUAUGGCAGUGGACACAACCGAGUAUCCUUCUCCUCUGCUCCCUUCCUCAGCCAACAUCCAUGGAGGUGCAUGUGACGUCGUGACGACGAGUUCAUUCUCUGUUGGCAAGGUAAUGCAUUUUUCAGUAUGGUGUGCAGUUCCAUCAGUGUGGUCGUGCAGCACGCGGGCGUGGGUUUGCAAUGUGGUGCCCAUCUACGUGCAGCCCACGAGAAGGCGACUGUUCUUCCCUCUAAUUCUACGGACGAGCUGCACAAAACUGCAGUCAUCCCGAGCCUGCUGCCGAGGAGCCGGCGAGCGCGCCCGCGGCGCCACCGCCUACCUGAACCUUGAAUCGGGCGACUGCUACGGGGACAGCACCGCCGUCUCCUCCCUUGUGCGGGUGCUCCACUGA